AAGUCGUAACAAGGUUUCCGUAGGUGAACCUGCGGAAGGAUCAUUACCGAGUUAGGGUGCUUAAACCGCGCCCGACCUCCAACCCUUUGUCUACCUGACCUUAUGUUGCUUCGGCAGGCCCGCGUCCCCCUUCUCGGGGGAGGCCGCCGGGGGUCCUUCGUGGCCCCGGGCCCGCGCCUGUCGAUGGCCCUUCUUAAACUAUUGUUAAAACGUGUCGUCUGAGUUAUCUAAACAAAUGAAAUUAAAACUUUCAACAACGGAUCUCUUGGUUCUG
rnacentral:misc_RNA from 1 species